rnacentral:lncRNA from 10 species
UUAACAAAAAACUUUACCCAGGUUAUGCUAACGAAUGAAAACUUGCUUUAGAAAUCAACACAGAAAAGAAUCUGGUCUACAAUCCAGAUAUGGUUUCAGAAUUGAAGAGGGAGCUGCUGAUUCCAGCAAAGACCUGGACCUGAGGAGGCCUUAGAAUCAAGCCAAGGCCAAGAAUAUCCUGAAGAGGAGAUUCCAAGCAGAGUAGCCAGACAGUGUCUUACCACUUACACCUUCUUCCAAUCACACACUAUCAUCAAGGUAUUUAUAAACAACUCUAAGUCUGGGAUUAAGUCCAGAGAACAACUUGCUAAAGAAUUUGAAGAAUUUGGGAAUACAUAGUCAAGCGUCCAAAUUUCUUUUCAAAAUCAAAGAUCUAGAUUUCAUGUCCAGAAAAAAGGGAAUGAUAAGACCUGAGAACAAAGAAAAAGCCAGGGACAAAAUCUCCAAGGUAGGUUUGAGGUUUAGAAGCUACGCAAGGUAGCACCAACCUCACUAGCAACUGUCUCAUUUCUCUGGAACCAAAACA